GCCGACAUGGCUCAGUUGGUAGAGCAAUUCACUCGUAAUGAAUAGGUCGCAGGUUCGAUUCCCGCUGUCGGCACCA
rnacentral:tRNA from 1 species